rnacentral:rRNA from 1 species
GACGAACGCUGGCGGUGUGCUUAACACAUGCAAGUCGAACGGUAAGGCCCUUUCGGGGGUACACGAGUGGCGAACGGGUGAGUAACACGUGAGUAACCUGCCCUCAUCUCUGGGAUAACAGUCGGAAACGGUUGCUAAUACUGGAUAUGAGCUUGCAAGGCAUCUUGUGGGUUGGAAAGAUUUUUUUUGGUUGGGGAUGGACUCGCGGCCUAUCAGCUUGUUGGUGAGGUAGUGGCUCACCAAGGCUUCGACGGGUAGCCGGCCUGCGAGGGCGACCGGCCACAUUGGGACUGAGAGACGGCCCAAACUCCUACGGGAGGCAGCAGUGGGGAAUAUUGCACAAUGGACGGAAGUCUGAUGCAGCAACGCCGCGUGCGGGAUGACGGCCUUCGGGUUGUAAACCGCUUUCAAUUGUGACGAAGCUUUUUUGUGACGGUAGCAGUAGAAGAAGCACCGGCUAACUACGUG